GGUAAAAUCCGGGUGGGCGAGAUCGGAAAUACGGAUGAUCCAAGCGUUAGCCGGAAGCAGUGGGGUUAGAGGUGCCGUAGGCGUCUGUAUAAGUCAGCGGUGAAAGUUUUUGGCGUAACCAAAAAAUUGCCAUUGAUACUGUAGGGCUUGAAUUAUUGUGAAGUAACUAGAAUAUGUAGUGUAGCGGUGAAAUGCUUAGAUAUUACAUGGAAUACCAAUUGCGAAGGCAGGUUACUAACAAUGGAUUGACGCUGAUGGACGAAAGCGUGGGUAGCGAACAGGAUUAGAUACCCAGUAGUC
rnacentral:rRNA from 1 species